rnacentral:rRNA from 1 species
GCAAGUCGAGCGAGAAAGCCCUCGGGUGAGUAGAGCGGCGGAAGGGUGAGUAACGCGUGGGAAUCUACCGAGUAGUGGGGGACAACAGUUGGAAACGGCUGCGAAUACCGCAUACGCCCUACGGGGGAAAGCAGGGGAUCUUCGGACCUUGCGCUAUUUGAUGAGCCCGCGUUAGAUUAGCUAGAUGGUAGGGUAAAGGCCUACCAUGGCGACGAUCUAUAGCUGGUCUGAGAGGAUGAUC